CCUACGGGUGGCUGCAGUGGGGAAUAUUGGACAAUGGGGGGAACCCUGAUCCAGCCAUGCCGCGUGUGUGAAGAAGGCCCUCGGGUUGUAAAGCACUUUCAGUGAGGAAGAACGCCUGGUGGUUAAUACCCAUCAGGAAAGACAUCACUCACAGAAGAAGCACCGGCUAACUCCGUGCCAGCAGCCGCGGUAAUACGGAGGGUGCGAGCGUUAAUCGGAAUUACUGGGCGUAAAGCGCGCGUAGGUGGCUUGAUAAGCCGGUUGUGAAAGCCCCGGGCUCAACCUGGGAACGGCAUCCGGAACUGUCAAGCUAGAGUGCAGGAGAGGAAGGUAGAAUUCCCGGUGUAGCGGUGAAAUGCGUAGAGAUCGGGAGGAAUACCAGUGGCGAAGGCGGCCUUCUGGACUGACACUGACACUGAGGUGCGAAAGCGUGGGUAGCAAACAGGAUUAGAUACCCGAGUAAUC
rnacentral:rRNA from 1 species